CUUGCAUGGCGGUGACCGGCCAAGAUGGCCGAAGGCAAUGCAAGACGCGUACCGGCUGCCCGCCAAUGCGAGGGUGCCG
rnacentral:sRNA from 1 species